GACUGAGCGCGGCCUACACAACUUUGACACCCACCCGCUAUCUCCAGUUACUCGUGAACAAGAUGCAUGUAACUGCGUUGAAAUAUCGGGAGCUCAAUUAAAACAAUAAAAAAGGACACCCUAAUAUAUAAAGUCGAACACUGAACGAACACUGAAAGUAACAAGCAGUCAAACUCGACGAAUCAAACUAGCAGUCAAACUCGACAAAACAAGAAAUAUCAAUAGAGUCAGCAGGUAAAGCCAUUGCCCAUUUUCGUAAGCCUACCAGGAUGACAGAACUGAGUACUAAAACAGCAC